rnacentral:lncRNA from 1 species
CUUACAUCCUGAAUUCUUGCAUUUUCUAGACAUGUGAAUUCCUGCUUCUGAAGAUCUUGUGUGAGCCUGACGGUCUUAUUUUUGCUGGUGAUGCAUCUCCAAUAAAAGAGAAGCUGCGUGAAAACCAAUAUAAACGAGUGGGGAAUUUCAUGGUUGAUGCAUAUGCAAUGAUUGAAAAUUUCCUGAAGGGACAGAGCAUUGAAGGGUCUGGAAACAAACUGAAACAGGAAUUUGACAAGAACUUCUAUAAAGCAUUUUCUAUUCAGUAGCUAUUUAACAUACCUUCAUACAUACAAUUUUUUCAGCUUUUCAUGUAUUAUUUAAAAGAGAACACUAAUCCUAAAUCUAAAAUUCAAAAGGUCAUGCCAGUUUUAAAAAAAUAUGCUUGAUAUUAUUAAUAAUUCUCAGCAUUUUAUUAGUCAGGUUUGCAGAACACUGUCUUGGAUCUUCUACAAAAAUCUGAACAGCUAUUUGGCUUUUAAAUGAGUUUACAGGAGUUAUUAUGAAGUCUGUAUUCUACAAACAUAUCACUGAUACAAGAGCUAUGAUCAUUCAUACCGUAUAAGGCCACUCAAUUUAAUAAAAUUGCCCUUUCCCUUAGGCA